UUGUGUGAAUAAAGUAAAUAUCAAAUGCAAAAGUAUGCAAUAGGAGGAAGCAGGCCACAGCUUCAGGCUGCAGCUGACUAGGAAAUUUCAGGCUUUCUCUGCUUUUGUUCUUUUCGACUUCUGUUCAAUCUUCAUUUUCUAAGGUGGAGAUGGAAAAGGAUUGGUUUUGUUACCUCUCUCUGGCCUAAUCCUGGAGUUACCAAUUUUUGUGG
rnacentral:misc_RNA from 1 species